UGGGGAAUCUUCCGCAAUGGACGAAAGUCUGACGGAGCAACGCCGCGUGAGUGAAGACGGCCUUCGGGUUGUAAAGCCCUGUGAUCCGGGACGAAAGAGCCUGAGGUAAAUAGCCUAAGGAAGUGACGGUACCGGAAAAGCAAGCCACGGCUAACUACGUGCCAGCAGCCGCGGUAAUACGUAGGUGGCAAGCGUUGUCCGGAAUUAUUGGGCGUAAAGCGCGCGCAGGCGGCUUACUAAGUCCAUCUUAAAAGUGCGGGGCUUAACCCCGUGAUGGGAUGGAAACUGGAAAGCUGGGGUAUCGGAGAGGAAAGUGGAAUUCCGAGUGUAGCGGUGAAAUGCGUAGAGAUUAGGAAGAACACCGGUGGCGAAGGCGCCUUUCUGGACGAAAACUGACGCUGAGGCGCGAAAGCGUGGGGAGCAAACAGG
rnacentral:rRNA from 1 species